GACGAACGCUGGCGGCGUGCUUAACACAUGCAAGUCGAACGGAAAGGCUCGGGUUUUGGGGGGGGCUGGGGUGGCAACCGGGGGGGAACCGCGUGAAUAACGGGGCCAAGCACUGGGGAUAGCUUCUGGAAACUAGGGCGAAGACCGGAUGGAAGCUCAAGUUGCUGGGGAGGAGCUGGAAAGUUUCGGCGGUUGGGGAUGGGUGAGCGCCUAUGAAGGCUGUGAGCGGGGGAGUGGCUUACCAGGGGUUUGACGGGACGCGGGCCUGAGAGGGUGACCGGCCACAUUGGGACUGAGAGACGGCCCAGACUCCUACGGGAGGGAGCAGUGGGGAAUAUUGCACAAUGGGCGGAAGAGUGAUGCAGCAACGCCGCGUGCGGGAUGACGGGCCUCGUGUUUUAAACCGCUUUCGCCUGUGACGAAGCGGGAGUGACGGUAAUGGGUAAAGAAGCACCGGCUAACUACGUG
rnacentral:rRNA from 1 species